rnacentral:rRNA from 1 species
GACGUAGGAGGCGAGCGUUGUCCGGACUCAUUGGGCGUAAAGAGCGCGCAGGCGGCUUGGUAAGUCGGAUGUGAAAUCCCGAGGCUCAACCUCGGGUCUGCAUCCGAUACUGCCCGGCUAGAGGUAGGUAGGGGAGAUCGGAAUUCCUGGUGUAGCGGUGAAAUGCGCAGAUAUCAGGAGGAACACCGGUGGCGAAGGCGGAUCUCUGGGCCUUACCUGACGCUCAGGCGCGAAAGCUAGGGGAGCGAACUGG